GAAUAAAGUGCAGCGGUUCCUCUUUAUGCAAGGACGUGAUUUCAAAGAUGAUUUUGAUGGACCAGCGACUACAGAAAGCUGCUGAUGACAUAAUUUAUGUUAAAUUUCUUCAAGCUGACGAGUUGCAGAUAUUGAGACGACGUAAAAUUCGGGAGUGCCGUUAAUUAAAACUAUCGCGCGUACGAGUGCGGGAGUGCCGUUAAAAGUAUCGCGCGUGUUAAUUAAUUUUGACGACCCUGACAACCUGAGAGGAGGAGGAGGCCUGAGAGAGGCAUCGGGCAUCAGCGGAGCAACUCCAAGACAACGUAGCUCAAACAUCAAUUACUCCGUUAUUGGGCAUCGGUGUCG